ensembl:lincRNA
AUGAUGUUCUAUACAUGGCUAACGGAACAUAAUUUUUUUAAGAAAGAAAAUGAAUUAGAAGGGAAAAAACGGUGUACAGAGGUGAAGGGGAGCACAGAUGCGCUGCAGUGUGUGGAUGACGGCGGCUCACCGAAGGGCAACCCUGGAGAGAGGUGGUCGCGUUGGCACAGAGUGGAGGGUCCAACCCAGCACCGGCCAAGGGGAUCAAGAGCCCUGUGCCCCUCAGGUCUCCAUGCAGCCUGUCUGGAGGGCACUGUACGAGGGACCCCUGGAUCCGUGUCUGCUGGAAAAGUCACUGCCGACCGCAGAUUGGAAGUGUCGGCCGCAGUCCCCGUGCAACUGUGCUUGUGUUUUCCCCAAAGAGUAGAGGAGAACGGGCAUCUCGAAAUGGACGUCACACGCAUCCCUUCUUUCCAGCUGGCGUGGUUGUGUGUCUCUCACGCCUUCUCGGGACGAGCUCUUCAGGGGUGAGAGGCAUCGGAGAGGGUGGCAUCGCGGAGGCAAGUGGCCAGCAGAGCUCCUACCAUCCCCACCGCUCACCGCACGCGCCAACACCUCCCGGCACAAGAGUCAACGGGAGAAUCGCAGAAGAACAGCUGGUUAAAAUCCGCCUGCUCGGUAAACGCCACAUUUAACGGAGCCGAGUUGUGAUAUAUGCCCCUGUGUGAGCUGAUCGUCCUUCUGCUUGUGCCACUCCCGGCCAUCAGGGCUUUAAUGGCCGGGCGGGGCCCCAGAGUCACAGGAGGGCCGGUGCGUGCCAAGGUGCGUGCCCCAAGCCGGUAAGCCCUUCCAUACAGACAGGUUCUGGUCGGCAGCUUCCGUCUCCGAUGAGAGACAGAAUGUGGAGCACAUCACGUGCGAGCCGUGUGCAGGCUGCCCAGAGGGCCUGGGCGUGAACACAGGCAUGGCUGCCACAGAUCUGGGACGGAGGACUGCCCAAGCCGGUUCUGCGGUCACACCAGCCUGCACGUCUCCCCACCCGGGAGACCUCCUCCCUCCUCUGCUUCUGAGGGGACAGUUAGGUUUGUCCACUGGAGGCCCCGCAAGGCAGGACCCUGGUCUGAGACAGACAGGCUGGGGAAAGUCUGACUUUUACCCUGGACGCCUCCGCGCCCCUUUCUGCCCAUGUCACUCUGCCUCCCGUGCGCACCGGGUCCAAAUUCACUCUGAUGAAGAACGAUGGGCGCACCCUCCAAGCCAGGAUGUUCCCAGAGGCCCUCCCUAGAGCAGGAAGUGGACCAGGCAAAGGAAGCUAUUCCCGGGCCAGCUUUUAAGGAGCGGGAAUGAGGACACUUGGGCCUCUGAGCCAAGCUCAGAGCUCGGUGAACGCAAGCCCGCGGAGAGUCCCAUCUGGUGCCGUGCCGCGCUGCCCCAUAGCCGGGCGUGCAGCUUGUCUUGCCCGCGGGCACAGGUGACAAACACGACCACAGCCCCUGGACCAUUUCUUCCAGACACAGUAAACUCUGACUUUGUGAUUCUGUGAUUGGAACAAAUGGCAUUCAGAAACAAUGCAUCCGGGUUUAAGGGUCUCAAAAAAUGAUUUCCAUUUGGGAAAGGCACCUUCUGAACAAGCACACAAACAUUAAGUUGAAUGAGUUAAAAACAGAUCUCCAUUGUGAAAUCAGAAGAAAUUCUGGACACGCGCAGGAACUGAGCCAGGAGGCCAGGCGCUCUGGGCUGCGGUCCUGCUUCCUGACGCCCACUGUGUUCCGUUGCCCCUGUGCGCCUCUCUGACUUUGCUGGUGACCAUGGAGCAGACCCCUCCAGUCCUAGUUGGGCAGAAUAAACAUAUUUCUGCCUUUUCUUUUCCCCAAUAUAAUAAAAAGAAAAUAAAUCCAAAGUCCACCUUUACCAGAAUUAAAGACUUCGGUUUUUACAAAUCACAAAACACAAAGACAGAAGGUGGGAGCGGAAGUGGGCAGAGACUUGGGGUUGGGUGGGGAGGACAGAGAGACCACAGGCAGGUGACCCUGAAAGGCUCAGAGGUUGGGGUGUGAUUGGUCACUGGCAGGAACACAGGUCCCCCAACUCCCAGCACACUAACUAACCGUCUCCCGCAUCCCAAAGGGCAGAAAGCAGAUCCCGGAGAGUCUGAGAGCGAAGACGUGCAGCGAGCAGGAGAGUAACACGCAGAGCAGGUACGCGUGAG